CAAACACUGGGCACAUGGCACGUAUCUAGUAAUGUCUGCUGUGAAAUAGUUGAAUAGUUGAGAAGUCUGUUAUUGAGCAGUCCUGCUGCUCCCUCCCAGACAUGACAGAGGUGAACUCAUGAAAAUACUGGAUACCGCAUUGGAAGAAAACCUUAUUUCCAAACAGAUACAUGAGGCUCUCAUCGUUCAGGAACCAUCUAUCCCUACCCUGUACCUACUACCCAAGGUGCAUAAGAAUGCCUCCAUACCACCAGCCUUCAUUAUUUAUUUUUUUGGGACUCUGAGCCAUGCUUCUUCCUUCUCUUGAUUCAUCUGAAGGGACUUCUUUCCACAUAUUUCGACUCA